rnacentral:rRNA from 1 species
GACGCAGAAGGGUAGGCACCGCCGGGUCGCUGGAAUGCCCGGUCCAAGCACGUAGGCGGGUCUCGUAGGCAAAUCCGCGAGGCCGUUAACGCCGAGAUGUGAUGGGGAGGCCGCAAGGCCAUAAACGGACUGAUCCCAUGCUGCCGAGAAAAGCCUCGUAGCGAGUCAUGAUAGUGUCCGUACCGCAAACCGACACAGGUAGGCCGGUAGAAUAUACCAAGGGGCGUGAGAGAACACUCCCUAAGGAACUUUGCAAUCUAGCCCCGUAACUUCGGGAGAAGGGGUGCCUCGCGUAGGUAAGGGUGUACAAUCCAAGCCGAACGAGGUUGCAAUAAAGUGGCUCUAGCGACUGUUUACCAAAAACACAGGACUCUGCGAACACGCAAGUGGACGUAUAGGGUCUGACGCCUGCCCGGUGCUGGAAGGUUAACCGGAGGAGUUAGCCGCAAGGCAAAGCUUUGAAGGGAAGCCCCAGUAAACGGCGGCCGUAACUAUAACGGUCCUAAGGUAGCGAAAUUCCUUGUCGGGUAAGUUCCGACCUGCAUGAAUGGCGUAACGACUGGAGCGCUGUCUCAACGAGUGACACUGCGAAUUUGUUGUUCCGGUGAAGAAGCCGGGUGCCCGCAACUAGACGGAAAGACCCUGUGCACCUUUACUACAUCUUAGUAGUGAAUGCUGGCGUGUUAUGCGCAGGAUAGGUGGGAGACUGUGAUCCCGGGCUCUCGGGCUCGGGGGAGUCAACGGUGAGAUACCACCCUUAACACUCCGGCGUUCUAACCUCGUCCUGUAAUCCAGGGCAGGGACACUGCUAGGUGGGUAGUUUGACUGGGGCGGUCGCCUCCUAAACUGUAACGGAGGCGCGCGAAGGUUCGCUCAGGCUGUUUGGAAAUCAGCCGUAGAGUGCAAAAGCAGAAGCGAGCUUGACUGCGACACCAACAAGUGGAGCAGGUGGGAAACCAGGCUUUAGUGAUCCGGUGGUUCCGCAUGGAAGGGCCAUCGCUCAACGGAUAAAAGGUACGCCGGGGAUAACAGGCUGAUCUGAGCCAAGAGUUCACAUCGACGCUCAGGUUUGGCACCUCGAUGUCGGCUCAUCGCAUCCUGGAGCUGUAGCAGGUUCCAAGGGUCCGGCUGUUCGCCGGUUAAAGCGGUACGUGAGCUGGGUUUAGAACGUCGCGAGACAGUUCGGUCUCUAUCUGUCAUGGGCGCAGGAGAUUUGAGUGGGGCUGUCCUUAGUACGAGAGGACCGGGAUGGACGCACCUCUAGUGUACGAGUUGUCGUGCCAACGGCAGCGCUCGGUAGCUACGUGCGGAAGGGAUAAACGCUGAAUGCAUCUAAGCGUGAAGCCAGACCCGAGAUUAAUCCUGCCCGUGAGACUCGUGGUAGACCACCACGUUGAUAGGCUGGAAAUGUAAGUGCAGUAAUGUGCUCAGUUGACCAGUACUAAUCAGUCCCUUGGCUUGACCAU